AAGAGAUAAAUUGAGGCGCAGCCUCAUUAACAUUCUCUCUUCCUUGUCACGGAGCAAGAGGAAGGACUCGCUGCUGCAAGGAAACUGAAAAAUUCGUAGUUUGAAAGCCUAAAAUGCGGAAGGAUGCAUUAGGAGAACCACUUGAGGUGGGAUGUCAGGAGUCUACUUGUUGACCUAACGCUUCAAUUUUGAUAAAUUUCUACUGAUUUGUUAUAUAUCCUGAAAGCGCUACAUGUAAAAAAAAAACCCAAUAAGUUUUAAUUUAAGGCCUAAAUGACAAUAAACUUUUCUGCAAAACAAAAAGUAAAGCCCCAAAGAUCUUUUGUGUAACUGUUUUGUUUUCCAAGGUUUUCAGUUUUUUAUUUUCUUAAGGGUAGCUGGAAUCACUAUUGAGUCACGCAGUAAAGAACCUGAAAACGUUUAUAGCAACUCGGUUCCUAUAGUUUGGCCAAAGGUUUUACUUUGUUAGAAACAAUGGAAAAUUGGAGACAUACAAAAAUAAAAAUACAGAAAUAGUCAUAAUACAAAAAUAAACAUGUACAAGAAUAAGAUCAUUAUCAAAA